rnacentral:rRNA from 1 species
GAUGAACGCUAGCGGCAGGCUUAAUACAUGCAAGUCGAGGGGUAGCAAGAUUGUAGCAAUACAAUUGUUGACGACCGGCAAACGGGUGCGGAACACGUACACAACCUUCCUACAAGUGGGGAAUAGCACAGAGAAAUUUGGAUUAAUACCCCGUAACAUAGCGAUGUGGCAUCACAUUGCUAUUAUAGCUUCGGCGCUUGUUGAUGGGUGUGCGGCUGAUUAGAUAGUUGGCGGGGUAACGGCCCACCAAGUCUACGAUCAGUAGCUGAUGUGAGAGCAUGAUCAGCCACACGGGCACUGAGACACGGGCCCGACUCCUACGGGAGGCAGCAGUAAGGAAUAUUGGACAAUGGACGCAAGUCUGAUCCAGCCAUGCCGCGUGAAGGAUUAAGGUCCUCUGGAUUGUAAACUUCUUUUAUAAGGGACGAAAAAAGGUCUUUCUAGAUCGUCUGACGGUACCUUAUGAAUAAGCACCGGCUAACUCCGUGCCAGCAGCCGCUGUAAAAC